rnacentral:pre_miRNA from 1 species
UCUAAAGAGUGAGCAAAGAAAGUGGUUUCUUGAGAUGGAAUUUAUUCCUGGUGAAGAUGCUAUGAA